CUUCAAAUGUGGAGUGAACGUUCGGAAUUUCUUUCCCAUAAAAAUACCACAGUUUGUGAAUUAUACCAAAAAGGAAAAAGUAUAAAUGCUGGAUUUCUUCACACCGCUAACAAAAAAAAGAGAGAGAAGAAAACUCAAUUGAUUAAUAAACAAAACAGCGACACUUGCA